AUGAGUCUAACCAAAAGAAAUCUUCAACUUAUUAGCAGAACAAGUUUCUUAAGUUUUCAUCUACGGAGAGAACUCCCAAAUAAAAUUUGGGACUCUUUCUUCCCAAAGCAUGUUUUAAAAUGCAACCAGACUAAACAAUGGAGACCACAGGAACGAUCCUCUCCUCUCCAGGAUAAGAGUGUUCGUAACUACAUGAAGAUUCAAAUGUUGAAGAACAAAUGGCACAGAGAUGAGGAUGCAUUUAAAUAUGAGCCUAUGUUUAUUCUAUUUCACUUUUCUGCAGCUCUAAGACAUGUUCCUCACCAGCCAGUCUUGUAUCACCCCAUUGAGAAAAACACAUUUUAAACCAUCAGAGUGAUGACUUUUGGAUAAUGUACUUUUCUGGAUAUUUGCCAAGAAUUUGAGAUGUAACAAAUAAACAUUCAUCUUCAGUUUUUGAUAGAAUUGGAUUGGGGCCAACAAACUAUAGCCCAAGUCAAGUGUCUUCAGUGAUGCUGCACCAAUGAUGUCAUGAUUGGAGCCAAGAUUAGGAGACCUCCCAGGAUCUCAGUUGUUACACUCACUAAUUCCUUAGUUAAUCUUACUGCUUUCUUCCCACUCUCUGCCAAUUGAUGAAAAAUCAGAAUAUUGCCUAGACUAAUGGGAAUGUGGUAAUAUCUGGCUCUGUAGAUGGAGAGUGGAAGAAAGGGAGGCUUAAUCUCCAUGAUCUUCUAGUCCCUUGCUGCAGGUGCGCAAAGUCAAACAGAGGUACUGACUGUCCCAGACUGACCCUAGUUGGCUGCAUCCUGAAAGGUCCACUGUAGCUAGGCCCAGCUCUGCAAAUGCAACACUCUAAUCUUGCUUGUUUUUUUAACUGACCCAGAAUGAUCAGCUUUUAUAGACUGACAUUGGCCAAAUACCCACAAAACUGACUUAAAAUACCAAUUUAUUAAUUUACAGUGAUAAAUGUAACUCCCAAAGGCUCAGAGUGGCUCUUGAGCAUGACCAGAUCAUUCUUUCCUCUGGAGAAAAUGUUAUGUGGUAAUCUAAAUUAUAUUUAAAGGGCAGCUUGGUGAGUUCAGCGUCACACAAUGCUAAUAGGAUGUACCACCCAACUCCAUUUCCAGGAACAAUUCUUAGAGAGGAUAGGAGGGAAUGUUAUUUGCUCAGUGCUGACACUGUGGUAAAUUAGCCCCCUGGUGUUUUUCUAGAAUUGAGAUAUAUCGUCACACCCCUUAAUGAUAAGGCAAUAACAUUUUAAAUAUGUAUUCAACAUGUAUUGAAUAGAAAACAGCAUUCUUUUCCUGAAAAAAAAAAACAAAGUACUACAAAAUACCCUAAUGACUUUAACAGGACUUAGGGAGAAUGUCCAGGGCCUUUGACUGAAUUUGGGAGACAUCCUGCAUCUUCUCUAUGACAACAGGAAAAUACAAUUGCUUCUUGGGCAACACACAAAUUAGACUCCACCUAGAAGGAGUCUGGUGGAUGAGCAGAUGACAUGGACACGCAGAUGACAGUUCUGUGGAUGAACAAAUGACAUGCUCAUUCAUAGUGUGCUCUCUUCUUGUAUUCACCUUCAGAAAGUGACAUAUUCUGACCUUGCUCCCCAAUGUGGAACUGUGCACUGCUAUGCCUGACUGCUGUGUGCCGUUUUGCCACGAUACCGGCCAAGAGUAGAGGCAAGAUGCUCCAUAGCCACAAAUGCUCCUUGUGCUGAUGAAACAUCUUUCCCAACAGAAUAAUUUUGGUUCAAUAAUAAAAUGAAGGGGGUUCUAGAGGAUCUUUCAUGGCCAGCAAGAUAGAAGAGGUGUUUUAACCCAGUAUCUACUCAAGAAGUGGCAUAAAAGGAGUUGAGACAAUUUGCCAACCUAUUCAGGAUAAUAAGUAAGAUUUUCAUUUAAGGAAUAACUUACUAAAGUCAAAUGUAUAAUUGUGGAAAUCCUCUCAGUUUCCCCAUCUCCUUUCCCAAUAUCUAAAAGAUAUGGAGAAAUAAAUUAUUUUUUAUUAAUAAUAAUAAAUUAUUUUUUAUUUUUGUCCCUGAGUGAAUAAAUUUGUUCAUGGGAAAUUUCUUCUAUUCAACAAUGAUAGCAAUAACUGAUAGUUACAGAGCACUUGGUAUUUUUUCUCAGAUAUUGCACCAAGAACUAGAAGAAAUCUUCACAACUAUUUCAUGAGUUAAGUACUGUGACUGGCUGUAGCAGGCAUUAGGGUGAGAAAAUUGGGCAAGCUGCUUAACUUCUAUGGGCCUCAAGUUCACACAGCUUGUAAGUGCAGCGCUAUUGCUUAAGCCCAGGGCAUAUGACCAUAGAUCCUGCCUUCUUAAUUACUAAGAUAUGCCUCCUCAAAAUUUCAAACUAUAAAUACUUGUGUAAUUUGGCCUAACCCAUUAUGGCCAUUAAUAUUGCCUCUAUAAACUUGAUUACCAUGCUGAAGUUUUUUAUUCCUUUUUCCUUCAUGAAAAAUAAGGCAAAUGUAAAAUUAGAACAACCUCCUGUUCUGUUUCUCAGUGAAUGACUUUAUUAUCAUCUCAGCCAAUAUUGAAAUCCCCAUUCCAAAAAAAAAAAAUAAGAUCUCCACCACCCACAUUACCUUCAUUGUUAAUAUUUAUAACAUGUGGUGAAAGAGUUUAGAAAUAAACUUCAUUGUUCCAACAAAAAUUUAAAAUCUUCCAAAUUGGCUAAGGGGCUCUACUUCCAUAA
rnacentral:lncRNA from 1 species